ACGAUGUACACAUUUUUGAGUGCCUAU
rnacentral:rRNA from 1 species